GAUGAAGAAGUAGCGAAAUGCGAUAAGUAAUGUGAAUUGCAGAAUUCAGUGAAUCAUCGAAUCUUUGAACGCACAUUGCGCCCGGCAGUACUCUGCCGGGCAUGCCUGUUCGAGCGUCAUUUCAACCCUCAAGCCCUGCUUGGUGUUGGGGCCCCACGGCUGCCGUGGGCCCUGAAAGGAAGUGGCGGGCUCGCUACAACUCCGAGCGUAGUAAUUCAUUAUCUCGCUUAGGGCGUUGGGCGGCGCUCCAGCCGUUAAAGAACCAUCUUUAACUCAAGGUUGACCUCGGAUCAGGUAGGAAUACCCGCUGAACUUAAGCAUAUCAAUAAGCGGAGGA
rnacentral:misc_RNA from 1 species